GCUGGCUGAUUCAGCCAUACAGGAGAGUUUGCCUGGGAAUGGAUACCCCAGUGGCUGCUACUUUGACUGAUAAAGCAAGCCCAGGAAGAUGGUUGAGAAUAGUUUGUGCACUCCGAUUAUCUCUGACAUUUUCCCAACUCAUAGUUGGAGCAGAGCUAUGACAAAGGCAUGCAUGUUGCUAGUGCAGACAUCCUCUUGGCUGUUAAGGGCUGAAUUCUGUACCCCCACGUUCAUAUGUUGAAACCCUAACAUCCAAUAUCUCAAAAUGUGCCUGUGGAGACAGGGCCUUCAAAGAGGUUGCUGAAUUAAAAUUUGGUCAUAUGGGUGGGCCUAAUCCAAUCUCACCUGUGUGUUUAUAAAAGGAGAUUAGAACACAGACACGCCAGGGGGAAGACCAUGUAGGGAAACAGGGCAAAGGAACUGCCUGCAAGCAAGAGAGAGGCCACAGAGGGAACCAACUCCGCAGACAUUUCGAUCUCGGGCUUCCAGCCUCCAGAACUAUGAGACAAUACAUUUCUACUGUUUAGCCACCCAGUCUUCAUACUUUGUUACAGGGGCCCUAGCCACCUGUAGACCAGCAUAGGGUCAAAAAGCUGUCAUGACCAAGUGCCCACACUGGGUCAGCAGUCCCAGAAGCAGUAUCAGAAUCAUCUGUGCAGAUAAAACUCUGAAGUCCAAGAAAGAGCCAUUGGCACACAAAUAAGACCAGAACAAAUCAGGGAACCAGGUGAUGACCUUUACUGUCAGAGAUCCGUGUAUACAGUACAGUCAGCUGACAAGAGGGCUCUCAAUCGUGGCCACAUAUUUGAAUCACCUGGGGAGCUGUUAAAACCCAUGACACUAGGUCACAACCUAGACAAAUGAAAUCGGAAUCCCUGGAGGGUGAGACCCAGGCAUCAAGAAGGAUUUAAGAUCUCUGCAAGAUUCAAAUAGGCAGCCAAAGUUGAGAACAGCUGGCUUAAAGAGAUUACGAGACUUUGUUACAGUAUCUCAGCACGGAUUACAUUUCAAUUUAGUUCUUUGCUAUUAUUCUUAUCCUCUGAAAUGUUUACACCACACGACGGCCUAUCACUGGCUCUGAAUUUUAUAUCAUAAUCACAUAAUAGGUUCCUCACUUAAGUUGUAGACAUAGGCAAAACUUUUCUUGUUUUUGAUGUAAGAUAAAGGGAGAGAAUGACUGGAGCAAAACAAAAAUAAGAUAAUACAAAAUAAGUCAUGGGGUGGCAUCACAUUUUAAGAGUCUUCAUUUAUGACAAAAGCACAAGCUUAUUUGUUGGGGACAUAACUUUUGCCAUUUUUCCUACCUUGACUGUUUAAGCUCGCAGCAAUUUUAUAGCUCGCUGUACAGGCUAAGGCUUUUGGUGCCUUUCUUUUUUAAGCUGUGUCAAAAUACCUUUAAGGAAAAAAGAUGAUUUGAAAGGUAUAAACCCAACGAAAGUAAUAGCACAGUUACAGUUUUUGUGUUUGGGCAGAUUUUAAGACAUUUCUAUGUAUUUUUCUGACACAAUGGAUCCUAAGGACUGCCGUAGACGUAGAUUAGUCUGAUUUUAGGCCAUUGCUUUGCAGCAUUAUGCAGUUUUUAUCUGAAAGACGUUUCAAGAGGGGGAGCUAGUUAGCUAAUUAAUUAGAGAUUGUGACUUAAAUUUUUCAGACAAGAGAUACUUUCCGAGUUUAAGGAGAACCCGAAGAAAGCUGCGUUUCUGUAUCCGUGCCAUGGGAAGUCUCCUGUCCUGUUUCCACUCUGCCUUCUCCAUAAAGCAGGCUGAUUAUCAGGGCCCUCACACAAGCCCAGCGUGGUAGCUGAUUAAGGCUUGACAAGCAAAAAGCAAACAGGAUUUCUAAUCAUGUGUCUCAUAGAAAUGGAGCCACAAAAACCCAAAGAAUUGCCAUUACACCCCAAGUCAUGCAAUUUAGAGCAACUCAGGAAAUAGGUGCACACAAGCAAACCAUGUGGUUAAAGCCUUUGGAACUGGUUUGAGCAAAGCUGUAGGUGAUUUGACAAAAUCAUCUGCAAAACCAGAUUUCUAACACCUCCCUGCUGUGUAUCUCAUUUCUGCUGAUGUGUGGUGCUUCAUAAGAUGGGGACGUUAAGCAUGCAGCAACUACAGUCAUUUGUUCUCAGAGGUCUGGACCAAAGAGAAACAAGAAAAGCUGGAGUCACACUACCAAAGGCCGAAGCUGAGCAACAGAGCUCUGGAGUCAGCUGCCUGGGUUCAGCAUGCAGCGCUGCCGUGGACGAUCUGUCUCUCUUGCAUAUAUGACUUACCAGUUUUACUUUCAGUCUCUCCAUUUCUAAUUAAAUGAGAUGCAGAAAUGCUGGUGCCUUGCUAUGA
rnacentral:lncRNA from 1 species